GAUGAACGCUGGCGGCGUGCCUAAUACAUGCAAGUCGAGCGAAUGGAUUAAGAGCUUGCUCUUAUGAAGUUAGCGGCGGACGGGUGAGUAACACGUGGGUAACCUGCCCAUAAGACUGGGAUAACUCCGGGAAACCGGGGCUAAUACCGGAUAACAUUUUGAACCGCAUGGUUCGAAAUUGAAAGGCGGCUUCGGCUGUCACUUAUGGAUGGACCCGCGUCGCAUUAGCUAGUUGGUGAGGUAACGGCUCACCAAGGCAACGAUGCGUGGCCGACCUGAGAGGGUGAGCGGCCACACUGGGACCGAGACACGGCCCAGACUCCUACGGGAGGCAGCAGUAGGGAAUCUUCCGCAAUGGACGAAAGUCUGACGGAGCAACGCCGCGUGAGUGAUGAAGGCUUUCGGGUCGUAAAACUCUGUUGUUAGGGAAGAACAAGUGCUAGUUGAAUAAGCUGGCACCUUGACGGUACCUAACCAGAAAGCCACGGCUAACUACGUGCCAGCCGCCGCGGUAA
rnacentral:rRNA from 1 species